CCAAGCUCAGAAAGCAUGUGUCCAUCAUCAAUGGGGGAUAUCAUGUGGAUGUCGUGAUGUGAAAUCUGAUAUCGCAUCUUCCUACUCUCAGGAUCCAGAAUCAGUUGGAUCUUGGAGUUGAAGAAGUAAGAAGCCCAAGAAGUAAAUUGGCUAAGUAUUUUUCUUUUCUGCCGCGGUGAAGUACCUAUAUAUUAUGGUUGCAGAUUUUGAAUAUAUCAAGAAAAUUUUUUUUUGAUGGAUUUAUUAGCCUUUAAAGUUACUGGACAUGACGUUAAAUCCAGAAUUUCGUGCAACUUAAACGAAAGAAAACUGAUUUGCAAUUCCCGAUUUGAUGUCAUGUCCGGUAACUUUAACUUUUAAUUGUUAAAUGCAUCAAGACAUAAUUUUUUAAUAACAAAAAUUGCAAAAGUUUUUUAAUAUACCUUAAACUUUUGAUAUAUUCAAAAUCAGCAAUCAUGGCAAAGGCUGUUAAAUAGCUUAGCGCAUUUAGAUUUAGAUUCCGUAGACUGUCGGCAGCAUUUUUACUGUCGAUGUUAUCAUUAUAUUCUUACCAUCGCUUGGCGGAGUUGUACAAAUAAACAAAUAAGUUACUUAUAGUGCGGACUAAAAUCUAAAGUCAAAGAUGUUUUAAUUUAAUCAUCCACGGAAUCUAAAUGCGCACCGCUAAAUUAUCGUCCCGUUUUCUUAAAGUUCACUGAUUGACAUACAGUGACAGUUUCUUUCUAGUGUUUCCAUCUGCGCUGCUUACGGAAGAUCUUUCCAAAAUUUCAUUUUACUUUAUACGAGUUAGUAAAUUUCAAUUCAGAAUACUGUAAAACGAGUGGAAGUGGCGAAUGUGCAGUAUUCGACAUUUUGGAUCCAGGUUAUUUUCUCAUAAAUUUUUGGAGGACACUUAUUUUCCUUUUUUUAUUUUACCGAAAUUGUGAUGCGGUGAUGGAUGAAUUUGGAUGUGGUUACUCCUGUGAAACAUUGCUGUGAUCUACGGAGAUCUCGCUAAUGAUAUCACAAAUGGAGAAAUUAACCGUAUUUGCAUGAUGUUUGAUUCCUCAAAGCUUGCGGAUUGGAGAUGGUACUUUUUAUGAACGUACUCAACCAGAAAUAAAUUAUGAGCAGUUUCACGGAUGGAUUCGUUCUCGGUCCUCAUUAUUCCUACUAUUCAAUUAAGAAUGUGUCAUGAUUAAUUUCCCUGAUGGUUCUUUCUUUGUCUACAUUAUUCCUACUACUAGAAAUACAUGCAUGCAAAAUCCCCUCGCCUGAGGCCAUAAACAUAUAUUUCCAACAAGGUGAAAUUCUAUAAUACUCGUUUCCGCUGAAUAAUCGAAGUCGUAUAAGUAAAAUCCUAUAUCAAGUACAAUUAUAAAGUCGACUCUCGACCUAUCAAAUUCAACUAUAAUUCAAAGAGGUGUCAUACAUUUGUUGAUAUCGUAUUCCUGGGAUGCCUAUGAUUAAACUUACAAAAUACUUCCAUGCUUUAUAUACUUAAACACUUGCAACAUUUACCUGUACAAAAAUGCUUCGAAAUCGUAGAUUUUUUACCACCCAUUUGAAUCAAAGUUUUUUUGUAUCCGAAGGCAUCUUUUACAUCCUCUUUUUUUAAGUGCUCCUGGCAGAAAAAUUAGUUUUACAUUUUUAGAAUCUUUAUUAGCAGUUUAUAUUCUGUUCAAAAACUGAAUUGCAAUUGCGACUUUAGUUUAGAGUUACUACCACAACAUAGCAUUUGGCAAAAAAAAAACGCACAAAAGGGAUUGGUACAAAAUCAUUGAGGUGACGUCACAAUAGGAACCGCGGUUUCACUCAUUUAAAUUUCAAGCGUGUAUUAAUCACAUGUUGUUGUAAGAAAGGUGACGACGCAAAAAAGUCACGCAAGAAAACAUGCCGAAUAGAUGUUUUGUCGGGGGUUGCUCUAAUACCUCUAAUGCCAACAAAGGAAUUUCCCUUCAUUUUAUAUUUUUUCUGGCGACGAAAGGCCAGAAACAAAAAAGAGACGAAAGCAGUGGAUUGAUUUCGUGUGGUUAAAGCGGGCAAAAUGGGAUCCGACUCCCAAUGCGAGUAAUUGUUCAGCGCAUUUUGACAAGAAAGAUUUACCACAAAUGUUUUCUGGUUUCUCUGGUGAAGUACCGCGGUUAGCCACCGAUGAAAUUGACGUAGUCGCAGCCCCUAAGUAUCACGCAGUAACUGCAGAGACAGAGGUCAAACCUUCGUCUGCGAGAGCUAGGAGAAUGGUUGUAAAAGAAGCGUUGUCUGUUAAUGUUACCGCCCAAGGCGAAGAGCCGCAUUAACCUUGCCGCGAAGUAGGAAGCAGACCCAUUUGAACACACAAUGGAAAAUAUUGGAGAACAACUGCCAAAAAACGCAUCUCCGAACAAAACAAACAGCGUUUCAACUGGGACAGACGGUUGUGUUCGUUGUGCGUAUUUAAACGGAAGACUUGGAACAAGUAUAUAGCGCUUAAAAGCAAAUACGAUGAAUUGGUGAAAGUUAAACAUUCCAAAGGUGUUCAGUGCAAUAUACUAAAUGUGGAAGAACCAAGCCGUGCUGAAAUGCUCCUUACACUUCCCGAACCGGGCAGUGAAGAGACAGGAGAUGAUAUGGGCACCAGCGACGAGGAUUUCCAAUGCGGAGAUGAAAGUGAGUCUAAUCAGAAUUAGGAGACGAAGGCACAAGUAAUCCCACUGAGAACCUACGCUAGCAACCUAAAUACAUCAUUUUCCUGUAACAGUUGCUGUUGCUGUUUAAGUUUUGCCAUUAUGCAAAGCAGAUAACUCUCUUGUUGAAACCACGACGAAUGGAACCCUGCUAAAUUGUGAGGACAACUUGUGACAAUCCCGUUUGUAGCAAAAAAAACAACAUAUGGAGAAGUCAACCACUGAUGCCUACGACAAAAGUAAACGCUUGCGAUUUCCUGCUAAGUUUAGCUAUUCUUGUAUCUCCCACAAGUGCAUGUUUCGACACAUGGGACUUGUUGGAAUGUGCAAUGAAUCUUACUAUGGACACCAAAGGAAAAUAUUGUUUUCAACAAAAUAUUGUUUUCAACAAUCUUUCUUCACUGGGAAGAUUACCGAAGUAAGAUUCUGGAUUGGUUACAAGCAUUGGAAUCUUUGGUUAUUUCUGGUGAUGGACGGCAUAAUAGCAUGGGGCAUAUAGUGCAAAAUAUGGUGCUUACACAAUAUUUUGCUGUACGUCUGCUGAAAUAAUUGAUUUUAGUUCGAUCCAGAGAAAUGAAGUUGGAUUAUUGGAAGCAGCCCUGCGAUGGAAUUUAAAUGGUUCCAAAGAUGUUUGAACUUUCUCCUAGAUGUAAACCUGGGCAUUUCCACCUUUAUCUCAGACAGACAUCAAACAAUAUCGAAAAACAUGAGAGAGAAACUACCAAAGAUAACACAUUAUUUCGACAUAUGGCACUUAAAAAAGAAGCUGCAUAAGGUCUUUACUAAGCUGGCUAAAGAGGCAGAUUGUGAAGAACUGGCAGAAUUAAUGGAUACAACCCUGUAUAAACCACCUUUACUGGAGUGCCACAUCCACUUACUCAAGAGAUGGCAGGAUUAUACUGGCAAGGUUAAUUCCUUGGUCAUAUUGUUGACAAACAUGAUGGGUUUGAUGAUGUGUUCAAUGUGUUCAUGGUGAACUGACUCCGAGAAAUGGAUUCUACCUGAUUCUCCAGCCUACACAAAACUAAGUGGUGCUAUGCUAAAGACGUCCUUUGGUAAGGGCAUUGAACAAGCUUUACCAUUAGACCAAACUAGUUGUUUGGAAGCUUUCCACUCUGUUGUCAAUCAGUUCUCCCCAAAAAUUGAAUGCUUAUUCAUUUGCUGGUAUAUACUGCAGACACAUCCUAACAGCAAUCCAUUUUAAUGCCAACUUAUGUCGUAAGACAAAACUCUAUGAAGAUGGUACACCACAGGUCAAGGUUUCUUAUCCGAAGUUAAGGGUGGUGAUGCCACUGUUAAAGAAAGCAAAGUAAAACAAAACUUUGAAUAUGUGGAAGAGAUAUAGUCAGACCUUUCUAAAAGCAUCGGGAGAUAGCUCAUUGAAAAAGCUUGGGAAAACACCUGCCCCCAUGAAUAUCGUGUUUGAAAACAAAGAAUCCAAAGAAACUGCCAUCAAAAAACAGAAGGCAAGAAAAAAUCUUGUUGUGGAAGAUGUUCCUCCAACAACACCAAUUUCAGUUGUUAUUGCUCAAGAAUAGGCAGCAAAGGCUGCUAAAGCAACCUCUGGCAGAGCAGCUUCAAGGUGUUUCUUGUGCAAGAAUUUGAUGAAAGGACACAAAGAAGUAAAGGAUUGUCCCAAAAAUCAAAAGCAAACACAGCAGUAAAACGAAAUCAGUUGAAGAAUAAAUGUACAUAUAGUUUUCUGAAAUAAUAUAUAAUGUGGAGUAUUAUAACAUAGCUAUAGCAUUAGUAAUAUAUAUAUACACAAAUUGUCAAGAUCUAUCCUCUUCUUCUACAAAUCCUACAAAGUCUUCAUUGUCUGUAGUUAGGAAAUGACGUCUUAUUCUUUCAUAUGCACGCGCACACUAUUUCCCUGUUUCCCAGAUGCCAAAAACGACCACACAAAACUUUUGUAGGCUGUGCUUCGAUAGAAUCUACAAAUAAUAGAGCAUGUUUAAUGGUACCAACAUGUCAGUACAGUGUGAUUGUGCAUUUAAAUUUCAUGUGUAUAAUGUACUUACUUAUCUUCUGUGCUUGUUUGGCGGUAUUGUUCUUUCUUCCUUGUGCGUAAUUUGGUUGCCGUUAAACGAAGCAACCACUUGUCUAAGCAUGCGCUGUUAAAUUAACCCAGGAAGGUCGACAAUGCAAGAUGGAGGGUUUUCCGUUUCCAGCUGCUGCAAUGCAAGCUCGCUAUUUAGCGCUUCUUCACACUCUUCGAUUUCUACGCAACACUGACAUCUUUAGCAUUGUGAAGGAGUUCAAUAGGACAGUUGCCACACUUAUACCUGGAAUAAAAUCUGUACCGACAAAGCAAAGACAGUUAACACGCAAAUAUAAAAGCGGGGAAAAUAUACCUUCUUUUCUUUGAUACCAUCAAUUAGGUCUCGGGUGAAAUUCCUUUAAACGCUCGUCAUAAGUUUUCUUUUUUUUCCAGGGAGUUAGCGAGCGACUCUGUCAGCCGCCGGUUCAUUUGCAUACGAACCAAGUUCUGAUGUUUCGUCUGUAGUU
rnacentral:misc_RNA from 1 species